AACGCACGAGACCUGCGGACCUGCGGAGGGAUCAUUAACGAGUGUAACUUACCCUUUUUUUUAAAAGAGGGUAGUACCUCCUGUCCUUUGUAGGCCCCUUUUUAUUGGGGGGCUUUUUAAGACUUUCUGCUUCGGCGGGGUUAUUCCCGCCGGAACACCCUCAAAAAACUCUUCAAAAACUAAUUCAGUCCGAGAAUUUUUGAAAAUAAAAAAAACUUUCAGCAAUGGAUCUCUAGAUCG
rnacentral:misc_RNA from 1 species